rnacentral:rRNA from 1 species
GUACGCUAUUCAGAGUUUGAUCCUGGCUCAGGAUGAACGCUAGCUACAGGCUUAACACAUGCAAGUCGAGGGGCAGCACAGUGUAGCAAUACACGGGUGGCGACCGGCGCACGGGUGCGUAACACGUAUCCAAUCUGCCUGUUACUCGGGGAUAGCCUUCUGAAAGGAAGAUUAAUACCCGAUGGCAUUUAUUUGCGGCAUCGCUUAUGAAUUAAAGAUUUAUCGGUAACGGAUGAGGAUGCGUACGAUUAGCUUGUUGGCGGGGUAACGGCCCACCAAGGCUACGAUCGUUAGGGGUUCUGAGAGGAAGGUCCCCCACACUGGAACUGAGACACGGUCCAG